CGCCCUAUUUUACUAACACGCCCUGGCAGCGAGCGCGCCCCCGUCAGGUCCCACUGACACCAACUAGAGGUAACGUUAACGCUAAUUGAGGACCUCUAACUGACUCGAGCGCAUACACUUUGAACCUGCUGGGGGCAACAUACCCCCUAUAUAAGGCGCGCCAGCCUCAGACUCGGCGCCUGAAGAGGUCCCGGAGCCAGAAGUACACCCCACCGGGUAGUUCGUCCUAGCUCCUGCCGCCACCCAGGGUUCGCCGCGGACCCCAGGAAAAAGUCUAUGUAUGCGCUAGGCUUCAUCGACAGUACUUCGGCCAUGGAGCGUAAUUUCGGGUGCAGCCACUACGACGUGGGCUUCCGCAGCCUGGGGGUCGGUAGGGAGGAGGAAGAACCGAAUGAGACGAAGCCUACCUUGGCCUCGUUGCUUUUAAGUGGAAGAGAGGAGAAUACAGCGUCCGAAUCUAAGUGCGGAGCGGCAGCAGUAAACUACGUUGGCACGAGAGAGCCGAACCCCUUCGACGACGAAAACCUGGAGGGCGGCUUUGGCGGCGGCUUGGCGCCCCCGCAGCAGCUGGAAGAGCCGCCCCCCCCCCCCAGCUGCGGUGGGGCCACUGAUCGCUGAGAGGAAGCAGCGCCGCUACCGCACCGCGUUCACCCAGUUGCAGCUGCAGGAACUGGAGGACAUUUUCCAUCGCGUUCAAUACCCCGACGUGUUCACGCGAGAAGAGAUCGCAGGACGUCUAAAUUUGACUGAAGCCAAAGUGCAGGUUUGGUUUCAAAACAGAAGGGCCAAGUGGAGAAGACACCAGAGGGCAAUGAUGCUCAGAAAUGUGGCCCUUGUUGCCUUGGGGCCUCCUGUGGGAGUAAUCUUUGAUGGGCCCUAUCAUGCAAUCCCUGUUCUGGACCCGGCAUGGAGAUGUGUUCCUCUGGUGCCUCGGGGCCUUAUGCCUCCUGGGCCAUCCCUACACCCUGGGCCUCCUGGGCCACCUCUGCCACCAGGGCCACCCAUGAUACCUAUACCACCCCUGCCACCUGUGCCUCCUUUUGCACUGGCCCCCGUAGGGGUGGCAUGGGCCCAUGUCAUCAAUGGUUAUUUCACAGGUCCCAUUUUCUAAAGUAUGGUCUUUGUGACAAUUUUUCCAAAGUGUUUUUUUCUGCCAGAUAUAAAUCGUGCAUAGUGCAAUAUUGAGUAAUUCUUCAAAUACAUGUUAAAUGAAUUGAAUAACUGAACAAAGUCAGUGCCUGUUGUUCUUGUAGAGUACCUUUUCAAUAAAGCAUUUUCAAUAAAGUUUCAAAUAAGUAAUA